rnacentral:rRNA from 1 species
AGUGAACGCUGGCGGUAGGCCUAACACAUGCAAGUCGAACGGCAGCACAGUAAGAGCUCGCUCUUACGGGUGGCGAGUGGCGGACGGGUGAGGAAUACAUCGGAAUCUACUUUUUCGUGGGGGAUAACGUAGGGAAACUUACGCUAAUACCGCAUACGACCUACGGGUGAAAGCAGGGGUUCUUCGCACCUUGCGCGAUUGAAUGAGCCGAUGUCGGAUUAGCUAGUUGGCGGGGUAAGGGCCCACCAAGGCGACGAUGCGUAGCUGGUCUGAGAGGAUGAUCAGCCACACUGGAACUGAGACACGGUCCAGACUCCUACGGGAGGCAGCAGUGGGGAAUAUUGGACAAUGGGCGCAAGCCUGAUCCAGCCAUACCGCGUGAGUGAAGAAGGCCUUCGGGUUGUAAAGCCCUGUUGUUAGGAAAGAAAAGCAGCGUGUGAAUCCCCCGCUGUUCUGACGGUACCCAAAGAAUAAGCACCGGCUAACUUCGUG